ACAACGAAAUAUUAUUUUCAUGUCGCAUUUAAGGCCGAAGUAUUGUGAUGUUUGUGUAUAUAAUAACAAUCGUCUUAUGUAUGCGUACGAAUGUAUAUAUACCACACCCAAUCACAGUUCUUUUUGAAUAGUAUGUGUUGUCCGUGACGUCAUCUCACCCGAUGUUUGAGAAAGCCUAUUGAUGACUUUCGAUCGUUAGUAGGGGUUUAUUCGAUUUAAUUAUGCCAUGUUUUCUUGACCCGUUAAAGAACAAUGUUUCGAGGCGUCGAGACUUCUAUUGAGCUGAGGUCAAAGCUUAAUAUGCCUAUUAAAUACGAUAAGAUAAAUCUAACUUAUUGCUCUAUUACAACAUGUAAUCAUGUAAUUUUAUAAAGAAAAUAAUAAAAUAAAAUAAUAUUUGUGAGAUGUGCAGACUUUCUUCUGACCAGAAUAGCUAUUGACGUGAUGUUUUCCAAGCUAAACGGCUAUAAUACAUAUUUUCGUUUUAUUUUAAUACAUUGUCGAUCCUUCAUACAAAAAUAUAAUAUGAAUAUCUGCGAAGUUACAUCGUUUUAAUGUUAUCGCCUUAAUGACUAAGAGUUUAAUAAUAUGUGAUUAUAAAUGCUAUUCCAAUAAAAGUGGUACUAAUAACUAAGGAA